rnacentral:lncRNA from 1 species
AUGCAUAUGCAGCAUCAUGCAUGUAAACAACUGGCGGCUUGCUCCCCCCAAAAGGUAGGGAUUGCAUUAACGAAGGAAACAGUGAGUUUGGAACAGCUAUUUAGUCUGGUACAAAACUCAUUAAAGGGAUAUUCAACAGCUAUUUAUAGAUUCCAAGGCCAGAAGGGACCAUUGGAAUCAUCUAGUCUGACCUCCUGUAUAACACAGACCAGAGAACUUCCCCAAAUAAUCUUGUUAGAAUAUAGAUAUUCAGGCCUGCCUGUAAAGCCUGUACUUUAAGAACUUAGGUGUAUUUUUAUCACUUAGCUAGUUAUAGGGGUAUAAAAACAAAGGGUACGUCUAUACUUACCGCCGGGUCCGGCGGUAAGCAAUCGAUCUUCUGGGAGCGAUUUAUCGCGUCUUGUCUAGACGCGAUAAAUCGAUCCCGGAAGUGCUCGCCGUCGACGCCGGUACUCCUGCUCCGCGAGAGGAGUACGCGGAGUCGACGGGGGAGCCUGCCUGCCGAGUGUGGACCCGCGGUAAGUUCGAACUAAGAUACUUCGACUUCAGCUACAUUAUUCACAUAGCUGAAGUUGCGUAUCUUAGUUCGAAGUGGGGGGUUAGUGUGGACCAGCCAAAAGAAUCAAAAUCACAGUCGGCCUGAGUAUGGGCCUUAUCUCACUUGGCUAGUCUGAGGCCUUGUUCUUAGGUUAAGACCUUUGGCUAAGCAGCAGGGGCAACCAUAUGCUGGGAAGCCUACAGCCACAUCCUCACCUCCCAAACCAGUCACGCUGAAAUAAGGUGCUGUUGGGCUGCUAGGAAGACAAUCCUGUCCCGAUAAUGCCCAUCGCCACCAGAGAAAGAGACAGAUCUUAAGAUGGUUAAAGAAAACUUAGUUUGAUGGCAUCCUGUCUGGCAAGAAAUCACUUAUCAAUGGUUGUGGUUGUGAAACCCUCAUUUCUGUAUUGUUUUAUCUUUAUGGCCCCCACUUUUCUAUUGUUAAUCGGUCUGGUUCUCCAAUUAUUUCUGUCUGCUGUAUAAUUAAUUAUGCUGGGUGUAAGUUAAUUAGGGUGGUGGGAUAUGAUUGGUUAGAGAAUUAUGUUACAAUAUGUUAGGAUUGUUUAGUUACAUUUCAGUAAAAUGAUUGGUUAAGGUAUAGCUGAGAAUAUUACUAUAUAAACUGGGAUCAAACAGGAAAUGGAAGGGAAAUUGGAAUCAUGCUUGCUAAGGGGGGGGAGGAACGGGAAUAGGGAACAGGGACACAGGCAAGGCUCUACGGCGUCAACUGGGAAGGGGGACGCAGGGUAAAUGCUCUGAGGCAUCAGAGCUGGGAAGAGAUUCUAUCGGCAUAUAGAGAUAAGCCCGACUGGUGUGAAGGGAUUCGGAAUAUGCUUGCUUGGACAUUAACCCCAAUAAACAUCGCAUUGUCUGCA